CUCACCUGCCACCUCCAGGGGGAUGUGAAGACGCUCUCGUGACCUCCUUCUGUGUGGCCUGCGUGUCCUGGUUGCACAGAAGCUGUGCGUGCGAGGAGGGCCAAGAUGCAGCUGCAGAACCUCACAUAGCUCUGGUCGUAAACCCAGACCCGGCUCAGGGGCGAGGCUCUAAUGCACUGAGCCGACAUGCAUUUUCACCAAGCACAGGCGUCUUCUCAGGAUCCACCAACAGAGGAUAAUCCAACCCUAGAGAGUCUAGGAGAACGGCACAGAAAGACUGUCCUGGCCCCCGGGGGAAGGCACGCCAGUUCUCCCACCCACAUGCAGCUAAAUGCCAACGCCUUGAAUUUGGUUCCCAUCUCACUCCCCAAAGGGCCCUUCUAGACUCUAGACCUGCACCCCUGCCAGAGAUCGUCAGGUACGGCUGACAGGGAACGUCCCCCCAGAAGCAGACAACACCCAGACGGGGACAGCUUCCCCAAGGUCGUGGCUGCUGACUCCCCUGCCAUCCCCAAAGCCUUGCCCCCCCCACCCCCACUGCCUGCUCUCUAACCCUUUUCUCGUCCCUACAGGAAAACCCAGGAGAGUUUGUGGAGGCCCAGAGUGACUUCCCCAGGGCUUUCAAAUCUUUGCAGUCAGUCCCCAGGUGUUCCCAGCUAGCCACAGAAGUGAGUGGCUCUUUGAAGCAGCCUGCUGAGUGGUGGCCUUGGUCUUUAAUUACUACUGUGUUUGGAACAAAGUCUGUGGCCAGCAGACAUCGGGGAGCGUCUGUGUCACCUGAACUUUGAUGCAUUUGAUUUUGAUGAGUCGGUGGAUAGGGACUCCUAUCAAGCAGUGACUCAGCCUCCUGUACGGAUCUCCUGAGGGGAAUUGGAAACAAUGGCUCCUCCGGCCCCUUGGGUCUUCUCAUCUUCUCCAAGUCUUUGAUGCCUGGUUGCAUGCAGCUGCUUGGUGACAAAAAUGCAUCACUGGCUGAACCGAUGCAAAACUCCAAGAAACAUGAGGACACUGAGUACACGAAUGGCACAUUGAAGCCCCAAAUCCAACAUGAUGGUGACUGACAGUUGUGCCUUGAGUUGUGGUCCCCGCGUGAGGUUCUGACCACAAGGGGGCGUUGGUAAGUUCAGGCCUGCGGAUGCCUCCGUGGUGAGUCCCCACCUAACGUGGUGGCUGAGUCCCCCUCAGUCCCAGCAGCUGACCAGCAGCCCCUGGCAGGUGGCCAGCGGACGCAAACGUGGCAAAACAAGGCAACCAACCGAACGGUCCCCGGCAUCCCUUCCAUUUUCUCUCCACCGGUGUCUGGGCGGCUGCAGCCCCCGGCCUUUGACAGGGGAGAAAGAGGAUGCGUUGGACGGCGCCCCGGAGCCCUGCCCCGGGCCGUGUCGGGGGGUGCGAUCGGAGCGGCCAGGCAGGGCUCUGGGUUUUGUUUGUUGGGGAGCCUCCGCAAGCCCUGCCCCGGCGCUGCACCCCCUGCCCCCUCCGUGCCGUGGACCCUGCAGCCUGGCCCUAGUCACCGUCAGCAGGAGCUUCCCGGGGCCAGCACUAAGGCUUCCUGGGAUAACCAGCUCCAGGGAGCAGCCAGCCCCCUGCCCCCGGAUUCUAAGUGGGUUAGAUGAAGUACUCGGGAGAGAGAAAAAAGAAUCCUUGAUGACAUGGGCAGCUCUCGGUCAGAGCGUUUCUGUGGCGCAUCAUCACUAGAGGUCAUUGUCAACUGCAAGUCAGAGGUUCCGAGCCACUCUGCCACUGCAGGGGGUCCCACCUAGAACGGCCUCGUGGGAGGGCUUGCUCAGAGACCACCCUUGCCUCCCACAGGAGGCGAGGCCACAGAGACAGAGAGCAGGAAGGAGCCGGAACCCGAACCCUAACACCACGGAGUCAGGAUGACACGGUGCUGGGUGGGAAAAACCUCCUGGCUGUUUCCGCAGCUGUUAUUUGGGGACUUUGUAACCUCGGUUGAACCUCUCUGAUUAAUAUACAACCUGGGGUGAGAACAAGAACUACAGAGAAGCAGGAAAUGGGGAGGAUUUUUUUUCAGUUUGGAAAGUGAAACAUUUCUGUUGACGUUCUUCAUUUUUUUUUUUUUUUAAUGACAAAGCAGCUUCUACACAGCAAACUUAAGUUCAUUGGAGGGAAUAUUUAGGAACUCUGAGGGAAAUGCAAUGUCUAGCCAAGGAUCCCAUAGCCCAGCUCUGCACUCUAGAACAAUUUGUGGUCGUUGUGUCAUUCACAGGCUGCUAUAUACAGUCUUGAAGAAUAAGGAGACAGGUGUGGUGGUGCACACCUGUAAUCUCAGCAGCUUGGGAGGCUGAGGCAGAAGGAUCCAGAGUUCAAGGCCAGCCUUGCAACCUAGUGAGGCCCUAAGCAACUCAGCAAGACCCUGUGUCUAAAUAAAAUAUAUUUUUAAAAAAGGGCUGGGAAUGUGGCUCAGUGGUUAAAUUCUCUGUGUUCAAUCCCUGGAAGGAAGAAGUAGGAAGAGGAGGAGGAGAAGGGAGAAGGAGAAGGGCUCAAUAUCUUGGGAAAUGCAAGUUUAAGCCAAAAUGAGGGCUGAGGGUGCAGCUAGGCGGCAGAGUGCUUGGUGAUAGGUCUCCAGCCUGGCUACCUGGCAGACUUUGGACUUGCCUGGACCUCCCAAGCCUCCACAGUCAUGUAAGCCAAUUCCUUGAGAUCUCUCCACCCCCUCUCUUUCCCUCUCCCCCUUCCUCCCUCCCUCUCCCACACACUAUGGGUUCUGAUUCUUUGGAGAAUCCUCACUAAUACAAAACUCAAGGAAGAGUGCAUAGGUCCAUCAAAGGGCUCCUACAAAGAUGUUCGUCGUGACUUGAUCCAUAACAGCCCCAGACCAGGGACAACCCGCAUGUCAAGCCAUGAGAGAAAGGAGAGGUGGACUGUGGUCUGAACCCCCUCACCCAGCAAGAGGAGUCCCCCAGACAUCCCACUAAGCAAAAGAAGCUGCCUCAGGAUGCACAGGAUGUGACUCCAUGUAAUUGGAAUUUUAAAGGCACCAACUAGUUUUGUGGAGUUGGAGGUCAGCACAGUGCCUGGGAGGGUACGAGCUAAGGGGCAGGAUGAGGGAAACUUCUGGAAUGCUGGAGUGGUCACAUGGGUGUGUGCCUGAACAAUAGCUCCCCACAAGUCCUCUCCAGAGCACCACACGCUACACUUUGGAGUCUGCUGUACGCCCAGAAGCAGGCUCUUCAUUACGCGGACGGAGUCAUCUUUCCGUAACUGGUUUCCGGCUCUCUUGCACUGUGUGCAGAAAACCUGCUUUGAUUUCAAUCCACUGAAGCAUUUUGAAGUCAGGCCCCACAGAGGAUCCACUCUGUGUGUCCUCAUGUCCUGGGAAUGAAGGUGUAUUCUGCAGGCCUUCAGAUCUUCAGAGUUCCUCUGACAGUUUUUCCUGCUAUUCUGUCAACUAUUGGAGGGUCAAAAUACUCCCCCCCCCAACAAUCUGGAAGGAAAUAUAAAGGACACAAAAUUGGCAAAUACAAGUGUGUAUGUGCAGGCACACGCACACACACACUCUUAGAAUGAUCGACACUGUGUGUCUCACGACCGUGAUUUGCUUUAAGUAGCUCAAGGCCAUGUUAUUAGAUGCACACAAAUUCAUAAUUUUUACAACUUCCUGAUAAAUACUGAACGUUUUUUCCCAUUCACAAAUUUCCGUCUGUAUUUUUAUUUCAAUUGAUUCAUUUAUUUUGUGGUGCUGGGAAUUGAACCCAGGGUCUUGCACUUACUAAGCAAGCACUCUACCUCAGAGCUGCCCCCAGCCUAUCCCUGUCUUGGAAGCUUCUCUAUUUGUUAUUUAUUUUCUUCUUCCAAGUGCCGUUGGCCUGGCAAGGAUAGAGAUGCCCUAGAUUUCCCUUGGUUGAUGCCUGUGUGGGGCACCUUCUUCUACUACCCUUCUAGAGUGUUCCUUGUUAACAGACUAGGAUUUGAUUUUCUUUUGUUUUUCAUUUUUUACAGUCUCCAUCUUUUAACGAGAGUGUUUGAAUCUAUUUAAACAUUUCAUUUUGAGAUGAGAUAGCAUCUUACGAUGUCACAGCCAGGACAUUGAUGUUGACAUGACCUAUGGAUCUUGCUUGGGUUUCCACAGUUUGGGUUGGCCUGGUGUCUGAGUUCUAUGCAAUUGCAUCCUCCCCUGGGUGGUUCCUAGAUCCACAGCACAGUCUGCAUACAGCAGCUUCAUACAAGGCCCAUAGACACCUUUUAAUAACCACUCCUGCUCCCCCUGACUCCUGUCCUUAAUCUCAGGCAACCACUAACCUGUUCUCCAUCGCCAUAAUUUUUUCAUUUCCAGGAUGUUACAUAAAUGGAAUCAAACAGUAUGUAACCUGUGGAGAUUAGCUUUUUCUCCCACUCAGUAGGAUUCUGCAGACAUUCCCCCAGCCUGUCACCAGUAUCCACAGCUCGUCCCUUUUCAUGGCUGAGUAGCUGUCCACGCCAUUAACAGCAGCCGUUGAGGGACAUCUGGGUUACUUCUACUUUGGGGCUAUUAUGAGUAAAACUGCUAGAAAUUGCACACGAAUGACGUGUAAAAUUUGUUAAGCGUUCUAGGUUGUUCUUUCUUUUUUUUACGGUGCUGGGAAAUGUGAAUCAAGUCCUUUGCCAUUGAGCUACACCCCCAGCCCCCAGAAUUUGUUUUUUUUUUGUUGUUGUUGUUUCUUUUUAGUUAUACACACCAUUAGGAUUCAUUUGACAUGAUUUUAAAAAUAUGGAAUAUAAUUUGCUCAAAAUCAGUCCUGAGUAUUCCCCUUCUCUCCCCCAGCCCCCAAAAUUUAAAAAAAAAUUCCUAUCAUCAACAUUCAUGUGCAAGUUUUUCAUGUGUGAACCUAAGUUUCCAUUUCUUUGGAAUAAAUUAUCCAGGAGUGCAAAAUUUGCUGGGUAGAAUGGUGAUCUGCCUAACCGUCUUCCAGAGCAAAGGUACCGAUUUACAUUCCCACCAGCAACAGAAGAGCAAUCAGCUUCCAGAACUCUCGCCAGUGUCCGCAGUGGUGAUUUUUCUAGCAGCUCUGAUAGGUGUUGGGAGGUCUCCUGGUGGUUUUAAUUUGCAUUUCCUGCCUGGCUGAGGUUGAACACCUCUUCCUGUGUGUCAUCGUUGGAGAAAUAUGUAGAGAUAGAAAUGUCUGAGGGCUCAGUACUGUGGGGUCUCAAGAGGGGUCUCCCCACUUGAGAGGGUCUCCCCUCACCCACAGGGGUUGCCUAAAAGCUCAGAGUGCCAAAUCCUCUGUCUCUGUGUUUUUUCCUAUAGAUAAAGUCUAAUUUACAAAUUAGGCACAGUAAGACAUUAACAGCCGUAACUAAUAUUAGAACCAUAUGACAAUAUACUGUCAUCAAAGUUACUUUAAAACUUAUGAAUUGUAUUUCUGGAAUUUUCCAUUUCAUAUUUUUAGAUCACAAAUAACUGAAACCAGGAACAGCAACACGGUUGGAGGCGGGGACACUUCUGGAGGCCGGGCCUUCACUGGACACAAAUAUUUCUCCCACUCCCAACUCGUCUUCUCAUUCUCUUAACAGGGUGUUUUCCAGAGCAAACUUUUUCGGUUUUUGUAAGGUGCAGUUUAUUCGUUUUUCCUUUUAUGGGUCACACUUCAGUAUCAAGUCAAAGAAAUCUUUGCCUGGCUCCAAAUCCUGAGGGUUUUCUCCCAUCUCUUCUCUUAAAGUUAUAUAAUCCCACACUUCCCGUUAAUGUUCGCGUAAGACGUGAGGUUUAGAAGACAUUUCUCUGUCGGCCUGUGGAAGCCUUUUUGCUGCCAGACCUUGUGUGGAAAGGGCUCUCCUUCCUCCACUGAAUUGUUUUGGCAUCUCUGUGAGUGAUCAGUAGAAG
rnacentral:lncRNA from 1 species